rnacentral:ribozyme from 1 species
AAGAAGAAAGAAAAAACAAAAAACAACCCGAAAAACAGUUGAUAUUGGUUUUCCUCUUUCUCU